ACGCGCCCGCCAGGAGGGGGCGGAGGGACCGCGGAGGAGGAGCCUGGGGGACCCCUGGGCAGCCCGGUCGGCUCAGGUAAUGGGGACCGGGGGAGGGAGGGUCGGAGCCCGAGGAGGGGCAGGCUUCACGGUGGGCAAGGCCUAGGGAGGGUCGUGGGGGCUCGGGCUUCUAGGAGUUAAAACUGGACCCCUGUCUGCACAAGGGUCCGUUUCCUCUGUCCCACACUGUGCUAAGACGUCUUGGGUGACACCCAGAGGCUACUCACCCAGCACCGUGCCCUAGAGGCCGCCACUCUUGGAGGCAGGCUCUGAAAGAGUUAACCGAAUCACCGAGCACAAAGAACUAAGUGCUAUAUGGAGUUGUUUUCUUAGCAGGACACAAAUCUAGGAGCCAUUCCUCUGACUGGGAGGAGGGGGGUGUCGGAGAGAGGAUUCCCAGAAGAGAAGACAUCUGAGCUCCGGAGGAGGAGAAAUGGAGCACCACGCAGAGAAAACGGAAUAGACAAAUGUACUAGGGCGGGAAAGCCCACGGGCUGUAUUUGGGGAAAAACCGAAAUUAGCUAUAGUUAGGAGUUAGGCCUUUGGACGGAAAUGAAGGGAGAUGAGCCUCCAAAAUAAUAAUAAGGACCUCACUUACUGAGGACCUACUCUCUGUUCAAGUAAGAAGAAAAAAAAAGUAACUAAACUGGAUACAGCCCUUACCAAGUGCCAGACACUGUCCUCACCACUUUACAUACAUUAACUUAAUUAAUUAAUUAACUAAUCUAGGAAGAGAACUACUUGUAUUGCCCUUUAAAAUGUGCCAGGGACUCUGCACAUCAUCUUUCAGUUAGCCCAGUAAUACCCUGGGCUAACACUUAUCCUGUUUUAGAGAUGGGAAAACUAAAUCUGAGGGGGCAAGUAAUGUGUGCAAGGUCACACAGCUAAUGUCAGAGUCUGGAUUCAAGCCCACAUGUGUAUAAGUCCAGAGUCUGAUGCAGCAUACCUUAUUUUAUAGAUGGGUAACUGAUAACCAGAGGGAAGUGGCUUGCCCAAGAUCCCUUGGCAAGGUUUGGCAAAGCCUGGUUCUAGAAAUGAAGCCUCAGACCUCUUGUCAUCUGUUCCUUGACAGCACCUCUUUCUUCAGACCCAGGUUUGUACAACUCAACAAAAUACUCUGUAUUGGGAAGGUGAUGAGUAGGUAGGUCUAUCAAAACCAUUAGAUACCCAUGGGAUAAAUAAAGUAUAUGGUCUUGCCAUUGAUGUAUUUUUUAAGUUUAUUUAUUUAAUUAGUGAGUGAGAGAGAAUGAGAGCAGGGUAGGGGCAGAGAGAAAGAGGGAGAGAGAGAGAAUCCCAAGCAGGCUUUACACUGUCAGUGUGGAGCCCCACUCCAGACUUGAUCCCAUGAACUGAAAGGCGAGAUCAGGACCCGAGCCCAAAUCAAGAGUCAGAUGCUUAACUGACUGAGCCACCCAGGCACCCCAGCCAUUGAUGUAUUUAGAGGCUAUAAUCAUCUGCUUGAGCUGCCGUAACAAAAUACCUCGGACUGGGUGGAUUGACACUUUUUUCACAGUUCUGGGGGCUAGAAGUUCAAGAUAAAGAUGCUGGCUUGGUUGUUUUCCAUAAGAUCUUUCUUCCCAGCCUGUAGAAGGCCACCUUCUCACUGAGUCCUCACAUGGUGUCUUCUCUCCUUGUGUGAAGAGACCAAGCUCUUCUCUCUUCUCCUUCUUAUAAGGACACUAAUCCCAUCAGGUCAGAGCCCCAUCCUUAUGAUCUCACUUAAUCUUUAUUACUUCUUUAUAGGCCCUGUCUCCAAAGACAGUCACUCUGAUAGUCGGGCUUCAGCAUAUGAAUUUGACAGAGACACAGUUCAGUCCUUAAUAUUCUUUCCUUCGACCCCUCCAAAAUCCAUGUGCUCAUUGUACACAAAAUACAUUCAUACCAUCCCAACAAUCCCCAAAGUCUUAACCCAUUCAAGCAUCAGUUCCAAGUUCAAAGUCUUAUCGAAGUAUCACCUAAAUCAGAUAUGGGUGAGGCUCCAAGUAUGACCUAUCCUGAGGCAAAAUUCUUCUCUACCUAGAUACCAGACAAGUUCCAUGCUUCCAAAAUACAGGUAUAGGAUAGAUAUUCCCAUUCCAAAAGGGAGAAAUCAACAGGAAGGAAGGGGUGAUAGGUCCCAGACAAAUUCAAAACCUAGCAAGGAAAAUUCCACUAAGUCUUAAAGCUCUAGAAUAAUCCUCUCGAGGAAUGCUCUGCCUUCUGGACCCACUUGGUCAGUAGUGUCAUCCUCACUAGGCAGCAGCCUUGCCUCCUCCACUGGGGGCAGAGCCCCACCCUGUGGCUUUUUGCUGUAGCCCUGCCCCUGAGGCACUAAGCAGGGACAGCCCAGAGCCCUGAAACCAAGAGGAGGCCUACCCUCUGAAACCCAGAAAGAAAUAGUCUUGCUCUCUGGGCUGUAUGCUUUAGGCAUAUAGUGGGAAUGGCAGCCCUGAUGAUCUGUGAAUCACCUUCAGGGUCAAUCCUCUUUUCUUAAAGGAUAAAGCAUAUUCACAGCCAAAUAGCUUUAUUAUCCUGUCCUGUAGAAUCCCAGAAAUCCAAUAGCCUUCCUUUAUUUUACCCCAUCUCUGUUCCCUUUGGUCCAAACUGACAAUGUCUGUGCUGGUAUAAAUCCCAUCUCUAUUCUUGGUUUCUGCUGAGAUGGCUGAUACACUGCAUGGGUGACCUCCUUAUAGAGUGAUUUGCCAGACACACCCUAGAACAUGCACUCUUGUUUUGUGCAACAUGGAUGGGCUGAGAAUUUUGCAAAUCUUCACACUCUGGUUUGUUUUUGCUUACCAAUCCCUUCCAUUUGCCUCUCUCAUUUGCCUCAUGUUUUACUAUAAACAGCAAGGAGAAACCAGGCCACACCUUCAACACUUUGCUUAGGAAUCUCUUUAGCUAAAUUUCCAAGUUCAUCACUUGCAAUUUCUACUUUCCAUGAAACACUAGAACACGAUUUAGCCAAGUUCUUUGCUGCUUCCUGAUAAGGAUCAUCUUUCUUCCAGUUUCCAUUCCCAUGUUUUGCAUUUCCAUCUGAAGCCUCACCAGAAUCACCUUUAAUGUUCACAGUUCUACCAACAUUCUGUCCAUGAUGAUAUGUGUCUUCUCUAAAAUAAGAGAUGCUUUCUUUAAUAGCUCUUCUCAUUCCUUCCUCAGCCCUCACCAGAAUUGCCUUUAACAUUCAAUUUCUACCAACCGUCCCUUCAAGGCAACCUAGGAUUUUUUUUUUUCUAGCAUGCACCUCACAGCUUAUCCAGUCUCUCUCCCUAUUACCCAGUUCCAGAAACAAUUUCCACAUUUUUUAGGCAAACCACCGCCCUCCCCACACUUCUUUCCCCCCCCACCCCNCCCCCCCCCCCCCCCCCCCCCCCCCCACUUCUCGAUACCAGAAUCUGUAUUAGUCUGCUAGGGCUGCCAUAGCAAAAUACCACAAAUGCGGUGACUUAAACAACACAAAUUUAUUUUCUCACAGUUCUGGAAGCUGGAAGUCCACAAUCAGUGUGUCAGCAAGGUUGGUUUCUGGUGAGGUCUCUUUUUCUUGCUUGUAGACAACCCCCUUCUGCUGUGUCCUGACAUGGCUACUUCUCUGUGCGUGUGCAGAGAGCUCUGGUCUUCCUCUUCUUAUAAGGGCACUAAUCCUAGGAGAUCAGGGCCCUACCCUUAUGACUUCUUUUAACCUUUAUUACCCCCUUAUAGGCCCUGUCUCCAAAUAUAGUAACAUUGCAGGUCAGGGCUCCAACAUAUGAAUGGGUGAUGUGGGUUUGGGGGGUGGGGAGACAUAAUUUAGUUUGUAACAGGGGCUUUUACCCUAGAAGCAUGUGAGUAGAAUUCUAGUCCCAGCUCUCUGCAACAAGCUCUGUAACUUUGGGUAAGUCACUUCUUUCUGGGCCUCAGUUUCUAAACAAUGACCUGAGAAUGGUAAUGGCUGUUCCAACCCAUUUCACCCAGGAGCUAUGAGAACGCUUGACGAAAUGGUGGUGAAGGUGCUGCCCAGUGAAAAACACUGAGGUGCCAAGUCUCACUGAUUCUAUGGACAAUAUACUUGCAAAAGGUAUACAAACUCUGUACAUGAAAUUUGCUUCCAUUUGCUGGCACUCAGUGAUCAAUAUUUAACCAUCAUGGGCCCCUGACAAUUGGAAAGUAGCUCACAAAAGAAAAAGUCAAGUGGUUACUGCACUGAGCAAGUACUGAGAAAGUUCCCAAUUCUGUCUCUCAUCACCCCCUCAACUCCAUACUUAUACACAGAAACAAACAUACAAAUGACUUUUGACCCCAUGGAAGCCUUUCCAUUUAUUUGUAAAGAAUGUAUUUGUAUUUGUAAAGAAUACUACAUCUCUAUGUAAUCUUUAAAAUAUUCUUGACAUUUAACCUAGUAAUUACAUUUCUGGGAAACUAUCCUAAAAAAAUAAUCUGCAAGAUUUAUGGACUAGAAUGUUAAUAGUGGUGUUAUUUAUAAUAGUGAAAAUAUUGGAAAUAACCUAAAUAUCCAACUGUGAAGGAAUAGUUAAUAAAUUGUAGAGUAUCUAUAUGAUAGAUUAUUAUACAUUCAUUUAAAAUAGCGUUUACAAAGAGUUUAUGCUCUGAUUUUAAGUGAAAAAAAGCAGGGUCCAAAAUUACAUUUAAGUUUUAUCUCAGCUAUGUAAAUAAAAGACAUUUCUUAAAAAGACUAGAAGGAAAUGUGCCAAAAUGCUAGAGUAUUUGCCUCUAGGUGGUGAGACUAUGGGUGGAUGAAGGUUUAUUUGUUUGUUUUUUGCAUUUUAUCUUUUUUUUUUUUUUUUUUGCUUCUUCCAUUUUUUAUAAUUACAUAUUAUUUUAGUAAUGGAGGUGGACGGGUUAAAUGGUAAACACAGGAAAGGAUCACAAGAGGAAUAGUGGUUUACCCUGGUGUCUUACACAGAGAGUUUUGCAUGCUUGAUUCUCCCCUCCAAUGUUAGGGAAACUGAGGCAGAGUUAGAGCAACCGGUUCCAAAUUUUGGGAGUCCAAGUGACCCAGGUCACUGUUUCUCUGUAGCCACAGUAUACUGUCAUGUUUAGGAGGUGACCAUCAUACCAGGGUUUAAAUCCCUGUGCUACCCUUUACAACUGUGUGACCAUGGGAAAAUAAACUUUCCUAUGACUUUGUUGCCUUAUCUAUAAAGGACAGUGAUAAUGAUGGUUCCUAGAUCACAGGGCUUUUGUGAGGCUUAAAUGGUUGCUUAGAAUAACACCUCUCACGUAGUAAGCAGUCAAUAAGUGCUAGUUUUUAUUAUCCUCAUUCUACUGCUAUUAAGUACAGGGGUGAGGAGUGUAUAAUGCUUAGCUUGUGCUUUUAAUUGUGUGAUGUGUGAAGAGUCUAAUUAUAUACCGAUUCUUUAAUUAUCAAAGAUAAUGAUCGUGUUAUACUGUAAUUUUCUUUUUCUUACCCCACUCCCACUACAUUGUGAGCCUUUUGUGAAUAGGAGGUAUACCUUUUUCUUCUUUUGUCCCACCAGCAUUUAGAAGGUAUCAUAAAUGUUUAAUUAGAUAAAUUAUAAAUUAAAUAAUUAAUUGUUAUUAUUUCAUUCUGGCUCAGCACACUUCCAAGUUGCUCUUAGGAGAAUUUUCUUCACUGGCCCUUACUAUGGGAAUAAUGUUGGCCCAGUGACAACUUUGCUUUGUAAACCAUUUUUUCAGCAACUAGCUCUUUUUUUAAAGUCCAGUUUGGGUAUAAUUUACAUAAUUAAUAGUCUCCAUUUUUUUUAGUGUACAUGACUAUGAAUUUUGAUAAAUGCAUACAGUUUGAACAACCACUUCUGCAAUUAGGAUCGCCCCCAAAACUUCACUCCUGCUUCCUAUCACUCCCAACUACUAGCAAUCAUUGAUUGGCUUUCUGUCCUUUUAGCAUUACCUUUUCCAGAAUGCCACAUAAAUGGAACCAUACAGAAUUUAGCUUUUUGAGUCUGGCUUCUUUAAUUCAGCAUAAUGUAUUUAAGAUUCAUCCACGUUGUUGCAUGUAUCAAUAGUUCCCACCUUUUUAUUGUUCAGUAAUAUUACAUUGUGUGGAUAUACCACAGUUAGUUUAUCCAUUCACCUGUUGAAUGACAUUGGGUGUUUCCAGUUUUUGACAAUUAUGAAUGAAGUCACUAUAAAUAUUCAAGUUUUAUGUGAACCUAUGUUUUCAUUUCUCUAGGGUUAAUAAUUAGGAGUGAAAUUUCUAGGUCUUGUGGUUAAAUAUGUUUCACUUCAUAAGAAACUACAAAAAAGUACUUUUAAAAGUGGUUGUAUGGUGUUGCAUUCCUCCCAGCAAUACAUGAGAGUUCCAAUUGGUCCACAUCCUUGGCAGGACUUAGUAUUGUCAGUUCUUUUGAUUUUAGCCAUUUUAAUAUUUGUGUUGUUUCCCAACAACACUUUUGCAUUUCAGGUACUCUGUGAGGGGACCAGAUUAGGAUUAUUGGAUCCAUUUUGACAGAAGCAAUUAAAGCCUAAAUGGGUCUUUUACUCAAGUUCUUUGGUUAUGUUCAAGAUUUUAGUCUUUAGUUCCUUUUUUUCUCUUAGUAAUCCACAGGAGAAGCAAAUCCCUCCAACCCCUGGGAAACCCGUAAAGCUCUUGGAAUCACUCAUUCAACAGCAUUUCUUGAGCAGUUAAUUAUGUAUCUAGCAUUUGCUAGAAUCUAAAAACACAAAGAUUCUCUUUUAAAACAAUUUUUUUUUAUUAUUUUAGAAAGAGAGAGCCCAACAUGGGGCUUGAUCCCAUGAUCCUGGUAUCAUGACCUGAGCUGAACCCAAGAGUCAGACGCUCAACUAACUGAGCCACCCAGGUGCCCCUACAAAUACAAAGAUUUCUAAGACAAGGUCUCUACUGUAACAAUUAGGGUAGGGGGAGGUGAGGAAAAAGAGAGAUGGGAAUAGGAACUGACAAGUAAAUGAAAUGACAGUUACAGAGAAUGAUCAAGUUUCUUGAUGUGUCUUGGGCCUUUGAAUUCUCAACACCAGGUACUGUCCCCAGAAUUGUGGAUAAUAAUAAUAAUCACUAUCAUGUGAUGGUAGCAAGUACAGUGCCUGUAUUAUCUCAUUCAGUGCCCAUAAUAGUUCCAUAAAAGAUAUAAGGUUAAAGCAUACAGAAUUGUUGAUUUUGUAGAUCAGAAAGGGUCAAACUUUGGCAAUGUAAUAUGGUUCACCUAAUAAUAAUAGUCAUAAUUGGUUACACAAGGCAUACAGUGUAACCAGUGCAUUAUCACAUUUUAUCCUUAGGACAACUCUCUACCGUAGGUACUACUGAUAUUCCUACAGAGGAGGCAACUGAGACUGAAGGUGGUGAUGGAAGCAUGUUCAUGAAGCUGCUAGGUUGGAGACAAAGCUUGAAUUCACAACUGAAGUAUGAGGAACUUCAGAGCCACUGAAACCAUAAAGGUCUGUAACCACUAUGCUACUCUAAUAUUAUUACAGAUAAGCAAACUGAGGCUUGAAGAGGUGAAGUUGCCUGAGGUGGCUGUGGGAUCUACCAUGCCCCAAGUUCACAGGGCAUCCCAGCUUCAAACUCCUGGCCAAAUCACCUUUUUUUCCUCAUCUCCUCCUUGUCACUCUGGAAAUUGGGCUGAAUUCAGGCCAUCCUCGGAAACACAGGUGUUGCCUCCACAGCUGGCAGAACAGCUAGCAAAGAGGCUUUGAUACUUGCUUGCUCCUAAUUGACCCUAAAGGAAGUACAUCGUUUUAAAUUAACAAACUUUAUUUUUUAGCGAAGCUUUAGGUUCGCAAUAAAUUUGAACAGAAGGCAUAACGAAUUCACUACUCCCCUUCCCCACACACGCACCACCUGCCCCACUAUUGACAUCCCCCCCACCCCCCGCCAGAGUAAUAUGUUUGUUAUGGUUGAUGUUAUGAGCCUACCCUGAUAUAUCAUUAUCACCCAAAGUUCAUAGUUUACAUUAAGGUUCACUGUUAGUGUUAUACACUCUACGGGUUUUAGCAAAUGUGUAACUAUAUGUAUCCACCAUUAUAAAUACCAUACCGAAUAGUUUCACUGCCUUAAAAAUCCUCUGUGAUCUGCCUAUUCAUCUCUCACCCCAAACCCCAAACUUCCAAUCACUGAUCUUUUUACUGUCUCCAUAGUUUUGUCUUUUCUGGAGUGUCAAAUAUUUGAAAUCAUAUGAUAUGUAGCCUUUUCAGAUUGGCUUCUUUCACUGGGCAUAUAUCCAGUUAAGGUUCCUCCAUGUCUUUACAUAGCUUGAUAGCUCCUUUCUUUUUAUCACUGAAUACUAUUGUGUUGUUUUGGUUUACGGCAGUUUCUUUAUCUGAAGGACAUCUUGGUUGCUUCCCAGUUUGGGCAAUUAUGAAUAAAUAUGCUAUAUAUACCAUGUGCAGGUUUUUGUGUGGACAGACAUAAGUUUUGAAUUCAUUUGAGUUAAUAUCCAGGAGCAUGAGUGGUAGACUGUAUGUUAAGAUUAUGUUUAAUUUUUAAAAUAAAAAUAAAAAUAAAUUAAAAGGUAUGUGUAGUUUGUAAGAAACUGCCAAACUGUCUUCCAAAGUAGUUGUACCAUUUUGCAUUCUCACCAGCAAUGAAUGAGAGUUCCUGCUGCUCCACACUGUUGCCAGCAUUUGGUGUUGUCAGUGUUUUGGAUCUUAGCCAUUCUAAUAGGUAUGUAGUGCUAUCUCAUUUUAAUUUGCCAUUUUCUAAUAAAAUAUGAUGUCAAAAGUAUUUUCAUAUAUUUAUUAGCCAUCUAUAUAUCUUUUUUGGUUAGGUAUCUUAAAAUUUUUGGCCCAUUUUUUAAUCAGGCUGUUUGCUUUCUUUUUGUUGAAUUUUAUGUGUUCUCUGUGUACUUUGGAGAACAGUCCUUUACCAAAUGUGUCUUUUGCAAACAUUUUCUCCCAGUCUGUGGCCUUAUCUUUCCAUUCCAAUGACAUUGUCUUUCACAGAGCAAAAGUUUUUUUUAAUUUUGAUAAGUCGACCUUACCAAUUAUCUUAUUCAUGGAUCGUGCCUUUAGUGUUGUAUGUAAAAAGUUGCCACAUUCCCAAGGUCAUAUAGGUUUUCUUCUAUAUUACCCUCCAGGAGUUUUCUAGUUUUACAUUUACAUAGUCCGUGACCCAUUUUUAGCUAAUUUAUGUGAAGAACGUAAGGCCUUUGUCUAAAUUCCUUUUUUUUUUUUUUUUUGUAUGUGGUUGUCCAGUUGUUCCAGUGCCACUUGUGGAAAGGAAAAAUCUUUGCUCAGUGGUACAGCAUUUUGCUACUUUGUCAAAGAUUAAUUGACUAUAUUUAUGUGAGUCUAUUUCUGGGAACUUAAUUCUGUUCCAUUGAUCUAUUUGUCUAUUCUUUUGCCAAUACCACACUGUCUUGAUUAGUGUAGCUUUAUAGUAAGUCUUAAAGUUGUCCAACUUUGUUCUCCUUCAAUAUUGUGUUGGUCAUGCUGGGUCUUUUGCCUCUUUAUGUAAACUUUAGAGUGACUUUGUUGAUAUCCAUAAUAUAAUUUGCUGAGAUUUUGAUAUUUUGAUAAGGAUUGCAUUAAAUCUAUAGAUUAAAUUGGGAAGAACAGACUUUCUUUCUUUCUUUCUUUCUUUCUUUCUUUCUUUCUUUCUUUCUUUCUUUCUUUAUUUUCUUUCGAGAGCCCAUGUGAUUACAGGAGGGGCAGAGGGAGAAAAAGAGAGAGAAUCCUAAGCAGGUUCCUUGCCCAGUGCAGAACCCAAUGUGGGGCUUAACAUGGGGCUCGAUCUCCCAACUGUGAGAUCAUGACUUGAGCUGAAAUCAAGAGUUGGACAUUUAACCAACUGAGCCACCCAGGCAUUCCAAGGGAAGAACUGACAUCUUGACAAUAGUAAAUCUUCCUAUCCAUGAACAUGGGAUCUCUCUCCAUUUAUUUAGUUCUUCUUUAAAAUUUUUUUUUUCAAUGUUUAUUUAUUUUUGGGACAGAGAGAGACAGAGCAUGAACGGGGGAGGGGCAGAGAGAGAGGGAGACACAGAAUCAGAAACAGGCUCCAGGCUCCGAGCCAUCAGCCCAGAGCCUGACGCGGGGCUCGAACUCACGGACCACGAGAUCGUGACCUGGCUGAAGUCGGACGCUUAACCGACUGCGCCACCCAGGCGCCCCAUCUUCUUUAAAUCUUCCUAUCCAUGAACAUGGGAUCUCUCUCCAUUUAUUUAGUUCUUCUUUUAUUUCAUUCAUCAAAGGUUAUAGUUUUUCUCAUCUAUAUCUUGUACAUAUUUUGUUAAACGUAUGCCUAAAUAUUUCAUUUUGGGGGGUGCUAAUAUAAAUGAUGUUGAAUUUUUAAUUUCAAAUUCCAUUUGUUCAUUGCUAGUAUAUAGGAAAGUGAUUGACUUUUGUAUAUUAACCUUGUAUAUCUUGUAACCUUGCUAAAAUUACUAGUUCCAGGAGCUUUUUUGGUCUGCCUUUCAGAUUUUUUUACAUAGAUGGUUAUGACAUCUGCAAAGGAAAACAAUUUUAUUUCUCCCUUCCAAAUCUGUACAUAUUUUAUUUUCUUUCCUUAUUGCAUUAGCUAGAAUUUCCUGUGUGAUGUUGCAAAAGAGUGGUGAGAAGGUGCAUCCUUUCUUUGUACCUCAUCUUAGUGGAAAAGGUUUAAGUUUCUCACCAUUAAGUAUGAUAUGAUAUGAUAUGAUAUGAUAUGAUAUGAUAUGAUAUUAUUAUAUUAUGAUAUUAUAUUAGCUCUAGUUUUUUUCCUUUAUCAAGUUAAGGAAAUUCCUAGUUUACUGAGAGUUUUUAUAAUGAAUGGGUGUUGGAUUUUGUCAAAAGCUUUUUCUGUAUCUAUUGAUAUGAUCAUGUGAUUUUUCUUUUUUAAUCUGUUGAUGUGACAGAUUAUAUUAAUCGAUUUUUGAGUGUUAAACCAGUCUUGCAUACUUGAGAGAGACCCCACUUGGUCAUUGUAUAUAAUUCUCUUUGUGCAUUGCUGGAUUCAAUUUGCUAAUAUUUUAUUGAGAAUUUUUGCAUCAAUUUUCAUGAGAGAUUUUGAUCUGUAGUUUUCUUUUCUUAUAAUAUCUUUACCUGGUUUUGAUAUAAGAGUAAUGCUGGCCUCGUAUAAUGAGUUAGGAAGUAUUUCUUCUGCUUCUAUCUUCUGAAACAGAUUGUAGAGAAUUGGUAUAAUUUCAUCCUUAAAUGUUUGGUAGAAUUUACCAGGGAAUCCAUCUGCGUCUGGUGCUUUCUGUUUUGGAAGGUUAUUAAUUAUUGAUUCAAUUUUUUUAAUGGAUAUAGGCCUAUUCACUUUGCCUAUUUGUUUUUGUGUCAGUUUUGGCAAAUUGGGUCUUUCAAGGAAUUGGUCCAUUUCAUCUAGGUUAUCAAAUGUGUGGGUAUAGAGUUGUUCAUAGUAUUCUUUUAUUAGCCUUUUAAUGUCCAUAGCAUCUGUGCUGAUGUACCCUCUUUCAUUUCUUUUCUUUUCUUUUCUUUUUCUUAUUUUAAAAUCUUUCUUUUUCAGGAGGCUUCAUGCCCAGUGGAAAACCCAAUGUGGAGCUUGAACUCAAGAUCCUGAGAUUAAGACCUGAGCUGAGAUUAAGAGUUGGAUGCUUAACCAGCUGACCCACCCAGCUGCCCCUCCCUUCGUUUGCUUCAGAUAUUAGUAAUCUGUGUCUUCGGUAUUCUUUUCAUAGUUAACCUGGCUAGAGGCGUACUGACUUACUGAUCUUUUCAAAUAACCAGUUUUGGCUUAAUUGACUUUGUGUAUUGAUUUCUUGUUUUCAUUUUCAUAGAUUUCUGCUCUAAUUUUUAUUAUUUAUUUUCCUCUGCUUACUUUGUAUUUAAUUUACUCAUCUUUUUCUAGUUUCAUAAGGUGGAUGCUUAAAUUACUAUUUUUUAAUUUUCUUCCUUCUAAUAUACACAUUCAAUAAAUUUCCAUUUAUGCACUACAUUCACUAUACCUCAUAAAUUUCAUGAGCUGGUUUUCAUUUUUAUUUAACCCAAAAUAGUAUCAAAUUAUUCUUGAGAUUUCUUCUUUGACCCAUGUCUUAUUUACAAGUGUAUUAUUUAAUCUUCAUGUAUUUUGAAAUUUUCC
rnacentral:lncRNA from 1 species